AUUGAACGCUGGCGGCAUGCCUUACACAUGCAAGUCGAACGGCAGCACGGGUGCUUGCACCUGGUGGCGAGUGGCGAACGGGUGAGUAAUACAUCGGAACAUGUCCUGUAGUGGGGGAUAGCCCGGCGAAAGCCGGAUUAAUACCGCAUACGAUCUACGGAUGAAAGCGGGGGACCUUCGGGCCUCGCGCUAUAGGGUUGGCAGAUGGCUGAUUAGCUAGUUGGUGGGGUAAAGGCCUACCAAGGCGACGAUCAGUAGCUGGUCUGAGAGGACGACCAGCCACACUGGGACUGAGACACGGCCCAGACUCCUACGGGAGGCAGCAGUGGGGAAUUUUGGACAAUGGUCGAAAGCCUGAUCCAGCAAUGCCGCGUGUGUGAAGAAGGCCUUCGGGUUGUAAAGCACUUUUGUCCGGAAAGAAAUCCUUGGCCCUAAUACGGUCGGGGGAUGACGGUACCGGAAGAAUAAGCACCGGCUAACUACGUG
rnacentral:rRNA from 1 species